rnacentral:rRNA from 1 species
CGUUGAUUACGUCCCUGCCCUUUGUACACACCGCCCGUCGCUACUACCGAUUGAAUGGCUUAGUGAGGCCUCUGGAUUGCGCCUGCGGAGUGGGAAACCGCACCACGGGGUCGAGAAGUUGGUCAAACUUGGUCAUUUAGAGGAAGUAAAAGUCGUAACAAGG